rnacentral:lncRNA from 1 species
CUUGCGAAUAACUGUGCCGAGUUUUGCACCAUACUUGAAUUCUGUCACCCGGCCAUUUCCAAAGUAGUCACUGCUUUUAAUUGGCUCACCACCCAGAUCAAUUACCUCCUGGUAAAUGAAAGGUUUACUUCCUGCAGGGAACCAGUUACUGUUUAGAUUAUGCAGUUUGUCCAAAAUUGCCUUUAUGUCUCCAGGCCACAUGUGCUUGGAAGCAUCAAGUCUGAACCCUGCAACACCAAUGUCAAUG